GGUCACACCCGUUCCCAUACCGAACACGGAAGUUAAGCUCUCUAGCGCCGAUGGUAGUUGGGACCUUGUCCCUGUGAGAGUAGGACGUCGCCAAGCA
rnacentral:rRNA from 1 species